UCAUCUCAAUCUCCCCUCUGGCAGGUUAAAGCCAUUCCCCCUUGACCUUGACUACAUGCCCUUCUAAAAAGUCCCUCUCCAGCUUCCCUGUAG